CUAGUACUCCCUCCGUCCGAAAAUACUUGUCAUAAAAAUGGAUGUAUCUAGAUGUAUUUUAGUUUUAGAUACAUCUAUUUUUAUAAAUUUAUGCGACAAGUAAGUCCGGACGGAGGGAGUAUUUG
rfam:Hordeum vulgare subsp. vulgare, WGS project CAJW01000000 data, contig: morex_contig_136064